rnacentral:lncRNA from 1 species
CAGCCAGCAUUAGAGUUUUAAACCCUAAACUGAGCUUUUUCAUGCAAUCAACAUUAAGGUUUUAAACCCUAAACUGAAUUUUCCUUUCAGCCAGCAUUAGAGUUUUAAACCCUAAACUGAGCUUCUUCAUGCAAUCAGCAUUAGGGUUUUAAACCCUAAACUGAACUUUUCCAUUCAGCCAGCAUUAGGGUUUUAAACCCUAAACUGAGAUUUUCCAUGCAAUCAGCAUUAGGGUUUUAAACCCUAAACUGAACUUUCCUUUUAGUCAGCAUUAGGGUUUUAAACCCUAAACUGAACUUUUUCCUUUCAGCCAGCAUUAGGGUUUUAAACCCUAAACUGAGCUUUUUCAUUCAAUCGGCAUUAGGAUUUUAAACCCUAAACUGAAUUUUCCUUUCAGCCAGCAUUAGAGUUUUAAACCCUAAACUGAGCUUCUUCAUGCAAUCAGCAUUAGGGUUUUAAACCCUAAACUGAACUUUUCCAUUCAGCCAGCAUUAGGGUUUUAAACCCUAAACUGAGCUUUUCCAUGCAAUCAACAUUAGGAUUUUAAACCCUAAACUGAACUUUCCUUUUAAUCAGCAUUAGGGUUUUAAACCCUAAACUGAACUUUUUCCUUUCAGCCAGCAUUAGGGUUUUAAAACCCUAAACUGAGUUGUUCCAUGCAAUCAGCAUUAGGGUUUUAAACCCUA